UACGUAGGGUGCGAGCGUUAAUCGGAAUUACUGGGCGUAAAGCGUGCGCAGGCGGUUUUGUAAGCCAGAUGGGAAAUCCCCGGGCUUAACCUGGGAAUGGCAUUUGGGACUGCAAGGCUGGAGUUUGGCAGAGGAGACUGGAAUUCCCGGUGUAGCAGUGAAAUGCGUAGAUAUCGGGAGGAAUACCGAUGGCGAAGGCAGGUCUCUGGGCUAUAACUGACGCUCAUGCACGAAAGCGUUGGGAGCAAACAGG
rnacentral:rRNA from 1 species